AGUUGAACACUGGAUGACUGACAGCUGUCCUUCAUCACAACAGAAGACACAGAAAUCCUCCUCAUCAAAAACAUGACUUUGAUCUGCGUCCUCAUCUGGACUCUCCUCUGCUUCACUCAGGGGUCUGAUGGACAAAAUGUUGUUGUGACUCAGUCAGCAGCCAAAUCAGUGCAGCUCGGCCAGACUGUUACUAUUGACUGUAAGGCCAGUCAGGCACUUUUAACAUCUUCUUGCGGCCGCAGUUCACAGGUCUGCCUGUCCUGGUACCACCAGAAACGUAGAGAAGCUCCUAAAGCUCUGAUCUACCUAACAUCAGACAGAUUUUCAGGAAUCUCCUCCAGGUUCAGUGGAAGUGGAGCAGGGAAUGGAUUAGACUUCACUCUGACCAUCAGUGGAGUCCAGGCUGAAGAUGUAGGAGUUUAUUACUGUCAGAGUUAUCAUUACAUCAACAGUCAGUAUGUGUUCACACAGUGAAAAACCAUCGUACAAAAACCUCCCUCAGUCUGACUGAACAGAAACUGAACUUUGUUCUGCAGCUGGAAUCUGCUGCAGAACAUUGAUACAGUUCACUGAACAAACACAGUAGACACACAUUUCAUCAGUUUCUAUUAAACUUUAGGAUAAAUUCAACAACCACCUCUUUGAUAAUAAUAAUAAUAACAAUAAUCUUUAUAUUAUACCCUAUUCAGAUAUAAAUCACAAAGUACUUUACAGAGUGCCAGUAGAUUAAAUACAAGUAAAGGCUUAAUAUAAAACAGAAAAAGUAAGAACAGCUAAUAAAACAUUUAACUAAAA